UUUAAAUAAUUUAACUAAUAUUCACUAUGGAUACACCAACAAUUAUGAUCAUCAAAAUUGUUUACAUAUUUUCAACAAACUUUAGAAGCUUAGAUUAUAACCAAUAGACUACUAGUUUUCAGGAUGAUGAAAAAACAAAUUUAAAUUGAACAUUUAUUAAUAUAAGAGAAAUACUUAUAUCAUUAUUGAUUUCCCUGUGGAUAGAGAGGAUAAGAAUACUUUCACGGCACCUCUGCCAAUCGUAAGAGGUGACUAAUGAGGUUGUGUCAGAUCGAUAGCCGUCAUAAAAAUCUUUAUCAAAAAAGUAUGAGGAAUCCUGAACAAAACUUAGGCGGAUUGUCCUAUCUCAGAUGUACGCGGGGACAACAGAAACUAGUUAAAACGAAGAAGGAAAAAAGAGGCCGACCCCAAGUAGUUGAGAUUAAGGCAAGGAAGAAGAAGACUUAUAU